rnacentral:rRNA from 1 species
UUAUAAGAUCCCUCAAAGAUGAUGAGGUUAAUAGGUUCGAGGUGGAAGCGUAGCGAUACGUGGAGCUGACGAAUACUAAUCGAUCGAAGACUUAAUCAA